rnacentral:piRNA from 1 species
UGCAUUUCUUGUUUCUCAUACCUGUGGCCA